GGCUGGUCCGAGUGCAGUGGUGUUUACAACUAAUUGAUCACAACCAGUUACAGAUUUCUUAGUUCCUUCUCCACUCCCACUGCUUCACUUGACUAGCCUUAA
rnacentral:Y_RNA from 1 species